rnacentral:rRNA from 1 species
GGAUUAGAUACCCUGGUAGUCCACGCAGUAAACGAUGAGUGCUAGACGUUGGAAAUUAUAUUUUCAUUCUCGUAGCUAACGCAUUAAGCACUCCGCCUGGGGAGUACGAUCGCAAGAUUAAAACUCAAAGGAAUUGACGGGGGCCUGCACAAGCGGUGGAGCAUGCGGUUUAAUUCGACGAUACGCGAAGAACCUUACCAACCCUUGACAUAUUGGUCGCAGGAAACAGAGAUGUAUCCUUUCAGUUCGGCUGGACCAAACACAGGUGUUGCACGGCUGUCGUCAGCUCGUGCCG